rnacentral:tRNA from 1 species
UGCAGUGUAGCUAGGGGUAGAGCACUUGCUUAUCAUGCAUGAGGUCCUGGGUUUGAUCCCCAGCUCUAAAA